rnacentral:rRNA from 1 species
AUUGAACGCUGGCGGCAGGCCUAACACAUGCAAGUCGAACGAGUGGCGGACGGGUGAGUAAUGUCUGGGAAACUGCCUGAUGGAGGGGGAUAACUACUGGAAACGGUAGCUAAUACCGCAUACCAUCGGAUGUGCCCAGAUGGGAUUAGCUAGUAGGUGGGGUAAAGGCUCACCUAGGCGACGAUCCCUAGCUGGUCUGAGAGGAUGACCAGCACAACUGGAACUGAGGCACGGUCCAGACUCCUAAGGGAGGGAGCAGGGGGGAAUAUUGGACAAAUGGCGCAAGGCUGAUGCAGCCAUGGCGGGUGUAUGAAGAAGGCCUUCGGGUUGUAAAGUACUUUCACCGGGGAGGCGGUACCCGCAGAAGAAGCACCGGCUAACUCCGUGCCAGCAGCCGCGGUAAUUC